rnacentral:tRNA from 1 species
UGAGCUGUGGCACAGCAGGUUAAAGCCCCAGCCUGCAACGCUGCAUCUGGGUUUGAGUUCCAGCUGCUCAG